AUGUGGCUGUUUUUAUGUAGGCCUUACUAAAAGGAGACUGAGGCACAGGGUAGCUGAGCUUAGGUAUGCCAUCUGGACUGGAAAUAUGAAUUAUCCAAUGGCCAAACAUUAUACAGACGCAAAACAUGGGAGGGAUUCAAUCCUUUUCCUAUUUGAUACCUUAACUCUGGAAUAAUCUACCUAACCUUGUUCGGGAGGCAGACACACUCUUGCAGCUUAAAUCUAGAUUAAAGACCCAUCUCUUUAACCUGGCUUGCACAUAACAUACUAAUAUGCUUUUAAUAUCCAAAUCCUUUAAAGGAUUUUCAGGCUGCAUUAAUUAGGUAAACCGGAACCGGAACACUUCCCAUAACACCCUAUGUACUUGCUAUAUCAUUAGAAGAAUGGCAUCUACGCUAAUAUUAGUCUGUUUCUCUCUUGUUCCGAGGUCACCGUAGCCACCAGAUCCAGUCUGUAUCCAGAUCAGAGGGUCACUGCAGUCACCCGGAUCCAGUACGUAUCCAGACCAGAUGGUGGAUCAGCAUCUAGAAAGGACCUCUACAUCCCUGAAAGACAGCGGAGACCAGGACAACUAGAGCCCAGAUACAGAUCCCCUGUAAAGACCUUGUCUCAGCGGAGACCAGGACAACUAGAGCCCAGAUACAGAUCCCCUGUAAAGACCUUGUCUCAGAGGACCACCAGGACAAGACCACAGGAAACAGAUGAUUCUUCUGCACAAUCUGACUUUGCUGCAGUCUGGAAUUGAACUACUGGUUUCGUCUGGUCAGAGGAGAACUGACCCCCAACUGAGCCUGGUUUCUCCCAAGGUUUUUUUCUCCAUUCUGUCACCGAUGUAGUUUCGGUUCCUUGCCGCUGUCGCCUCUGGCUUGCUUAGUUGAGGACACUUGAUUGCACAGAUACUAUUUAAACUGAACUUAGCUGGAUGAUGACAUAAUUGAAUUAAAUGAUUAACUGCCUUUUUGCAUUACUGACACACUAUUUUCCUAUUUAAUGCUGUUCAGUGCUAUGUAAAUCAAGGUGACUUGACUUGACUUAACAAAAUACACUAUUUCAUUUUUACAAGUAAGGAGCAAUAUUUCAAUGGCACACAGGAUUUCUGUCUGUGUAGUAGCUUACUAGGUUUGAUGCACAGGUCACCGUGUCCUCCAGAAAUGCACAUUGACACACACUGACAUAAACUCAUUUCAG
rnacentral:lncRNA from 1 species